AUUGAACGCUGGCGGCAGGCCUAACACAUGCAAGUCGAACGAGUGGCGGACGGGUGAGUAAUGUCUGGGACACUGCCCGAUGGACGGCGCUACCUACUGGAACCGGUAGCUACUACCGCCUACCAUCGGAUAUGCCCAGAUGGGAUUAGCUAGUAGGUGUGGUAAUGGCUCACCUAGGCGACGAUCCCUAGCUGGUCUGAGAGGAUGACCAGCCACACUGGAACUGAGCCACGGUCCAGACUCCUACGGGAGGCAGCAGUGGGGAAUAUUGCACAAUGGGCGAAAGCCUGAUGCAGCCAUGCCGCGUGUAUGAAGAAGGCCUUCGGGUUGUAAAGUACUUUCAGCGGGGAGGCGUUACCCGCAGAAGAAGCACCGGCUAACUCCGUGCCAGCAGCCGCGGUAAUAC
rnacentral:rRNA from 1 species